ACUGCUGGCAGCUCCCAGGCUGCCAUGUGCAACUCAGCUCCAGCUCCUCCCUGGUUUACAGCCUUGGGCUGUGGUCUUCAGGGAGCAGAGUGGAAAUGGACUUUGAGACAGGAAAACUGGGGAAGAAAAUAAUACCUGCUGUGAGAUGAAAAUAUCUUGGUGCACUGAAGUUAUAUCCAUGAACAAAAAGCCAACAAUCUCAGCCUGCCUGUGGAACUUACACUUUGGGUUAAUUGACUGAAUUGGAAAGAAAGAAUAAGCCAAAAGCAGAGGGAAGAGAAAAAACGUAAAGUGCAGGUAAGCUGGCAUAGCUUUCCUGAGGAGGUCUGCCAGUUUCUGUAAUCUUUUUCUUUUUUCUGGUUUUUUGUUUUUUUUUUUCUUUUGAGACGGAGUCUCGCUCUGUCUCCAGGCUGGAGUGCAGUGGUGCAAUCUCAGCUGACUGCAACCUCCGCCUCUGAGGUUCAAGUGAUUCUCCUGCCCCCCGAGUAGUUGGGAAUACAAGUGUGCACCACCACGCCCAGCUAAGUUUUGUAUUUUUAGAGAUGGGGUUUCACCAUGUUGGCCAGGAUGGUCUUGAUCUCUUCAUCUCGUGAUCCACCUGCCUCAGCCCCCCAAAGUGUUGGGAUUAUAGGCGUGAGCCAUUGCACUUGGCCCACCUUUUUCUUUUUCUUUUUUUUUUUUUUUUUUUUUUUGAGACAGGGUCUCGCUCUAUUGCUGGGCAUGUGCCACCAAACCUGGAUAAUUUUUGUAUUGUUUGUAGACACAGGUUUUCACUAUGUUGCCCAGGCUGAUCUAGAACUCCCGGGCUCAAGUGUUCCUCCCACCUCAGCCUCCAAAAGUGCUGGGGUUACAGGCGUGAAUCAACAUGCCCAGCCCUCUGUAACCUUUUUAAUGAACAAGGAGAAGACUAGGUAGGUCUCAACUGUUACUGAGACUCCUAGAUAACGCCUGGACCCUUGAAGUGUCACGCCCUCAUUCAAAGAGGAAACUUUAAAAAUUUUCUCACUGCAAAGGGAACAAUAAGAAAUCUCCUAUGUUGUCUUAAACAACUUGUUUUUUCCUGAUAGGAAAAUUUUACCCACUAGCCUGGGCCUCCCUGGGAUUGGAAUAUUAGAUUGAAACUUAAACUAUCAUUAUGGUUCUGGAACCCCAAGCCAAGAAAUUAAUAUUAAAAGUGGUCUUGGGUCAGCAAUGCUUCUGCCUGAGGCACCCGGCAGAAGCAAAUCAAACGUUUUUUGUUUUUGUUUUUGUUUGAGACAGAGUCUUGCUUGGUUGCCCAGGCUGGCGUGCAGCGGUGCGAUCUCGGCUCACUGAAACCUCCUUCUGCCUCCCGGGUACAAGCGAUUCUCCUGCCUCAGCCUCCCAAGUAGCUGUGAUUACAGGCGCACACCACCAAGCCCAGCUAAUUUUUUGUAUUUUUAGUAGAGAUGGGGUUUCACCAUGUUGGCCAGGCUGGUCUCAAAUUCCUGACCUCAAGUGAUCUGCCCACCUCGGCCUCCCAAAGUGCUGGGAUUACAGGCGUGAGCCACUGCGCCCGGCCGCAAACCGUUUUUAAAAGAAUAUACUCUCAAACCAAGUCACAAAGGAUUUCUAAGACCGAACCUUGCUUUCAGUGAGUUCACAAACUACAAAAUUUAAGAGGAAACAAUCUACCUUCAGCUACAGUCUACAGACAAAACAAAAAGCAGCAAUUUGUCUUCCCCAAACUUGGGGCAUGUUGUCAAGAAGGAAAUGAAGAGGAAGUAUUCGUAUUAAGGCAGUACCGUAGAAAUUCAAUUUUAAAUGGAAGAAUGCUUGCUUUACUUUGAGCUGGAGGUCAGAGUGCUAUCCAGCAAAGGCCAGUGUGGAGACCCCAGUCCAGCCGUGAUAGCAGAAGCAUUCUUCCGUUACAGGGAAACUACACUGCAUAUUAAAUAGGGGAACAGAGAUGAAAAAAUAAUUUGAAUGUUAGUUUCCAGUUUUAUAAUUAACACUUUUUAGUAUGUGGGCGGUCUUUUGUCUCAUUUUUAAAUUCUCUAUUUGAGCUUUUGAUUUUCCUCCCUCUUAUGCUAAGAAACAAAAAUAUAUGUGAGGUUAAAAAAAUCUCUAAAAGCAAUGACUUAAAAAAUGACAAGACUCUAGAUAUCAUUCCUUUUCUUCUUGGCCUUAUAGUACAUCUCAGUGUUGGCAGAUUACUAAUUAAUAUAUUUUGCAUUAAGAUAUUUUUCCUAAUAUUCUUUUUUCUUUUUUAUUUUUCUUUUUGAGAGGGAGUCUCGCUCUGUCGCCCAGGCUGGAGUGUAAUGGCGCAAUCUUGGCUCACUGCAACCUCCGCCUCCUGGGUUCAAGAGAUUCUCCCGCCUCAGCCUCCUGAAUAGCUGGGAUUAUAGGCACUCACCAUCAUGCCUGCCUAAUUAUUGUGUUUUUGUAGGGAUGGGUUUUCACCAUGUUGGCCAGGAUGGUCUUGAACUCCUGACCUCAGGUGAUCCGCCCUCCUCGGCCUCCCAAAGUGCUGGGAUUACAGGCGUGAGUCACUGCACCCGGCCUAUUUUUCCUAAUAUUCUUAAGGGAUUAUUAGAGUUAUUAAAUUAAACAGUACUACAAAGUACAGUCCCAUAGGCUCAGCUUUGAUUAUUUCCACAAUUUACUAUCAAAUAUUUGAGACAGCAUUAUUAAAAGUCAAUGGACUUCUGGUUUAUAAAGAACCGGUAACUCUUUAAUUUCUUACUUUGAUCAUACACACCACUGCCAUGUUUAUACUUUUGUGAGGUCAUCAAAAUAAAGUCAAACAAUUUCAUGUUAUAUUAAAAACAAUAUAAUAUCUGCUUCCUUUGUGAUUUCUUCUUAUUUAUUAUGUAAAAAGAAAAACCUGGGUAAUUUAAAUUCUUUUAACCUUACACAUGUUCUAGAGUACUGGAAAAAAUUAAAAGUACAAUUUACAUUAACAUGUUCAAUAAUCUGCUUUUUGUAUGACAAUAAAAUUAGAGGUAGCACACCUUAAAUAUAUAAUUUUACUUAAAAAUAUUCACCAUAAUCAAGUGACAGUUGUACUUAAAUGAUUAUUUGAGCAAGAUAAUUAGUAUUCUUAGAAUAUUUUCUAACUUUCAAACAAUGGAUAUUGUUGAAAUCCAAGUUAUACACAACACAUUACUGCACACAUAAAAAUGACAAGUGAUCGUAGAAUAAUCUCAGAAACAUUCUUUAAAUUCAAAAUGUACCACACAUAAUUUGCAAUCAAAGUUGACCCAUCAGGGUUAGCAGUAAAUGUUCUGCCCUGGCACUGAGUUGAAACAGGUAAGUUCAUCAAAGGGGCUAUGAUACCUGCCAUGCCUUCCUUCAUGCUUGUUGCUCACAGAGACUAGCAUAAUGAAAACACUUUCUGAUUUCAAGGCAAGUCAGAAAUAUGAAGAUUUAUAACCUGGCAGAUCUAAUGGAGCUGUCAAAAAGGGAAGUUACACUCACAGUGAAAUGGUCACAUCAUGAUCUAGUUUUCAUCCUGAUUGAAAAAAAAAAUCUUUGUGAAGAACCCUACAAAUGUUUUUGGUAAAAGAGAUUCACAAUAAAAGAAGAAGAAAAAUAAAAAUAGAGCGAUGAAGAGGUAUUUUUUCAAAACAUGAGAGCCGAAGUCGGAGAUAAUGUCGUACAUGAGACAGUGAAUUUAGGAGAGUGCCCCCCUCUAAGUGCAUUAUUCCCCUUUCAUUUAGAAUACAGAAAAGAGUCAGAGGAAGACAAAAGAAAAGGAAAGAACCAAACUUCCAAAAUAGCAUUACACUACAUUAUUAAUAGCGUCACACUAAGAGAAAUGACAGCUCUCAAAAGAGUACUUUUGUCUCCACUUACUUUAAUUAAACUCCCUAGACUACAAAGUGAAUCUCAAUCUCUUUUUUAAACAUAAAAAAAUCAAAGCUGAUUAAGAUGUGAUUUCUGUCCUCUAAUGGUCCUCACCCUUAGUUAUAUACUAUUUAAAACAACAGAAACAGCAGCAGCAGCAGCAACGGACCUCAACAUCCUGCAAAUUUUCUCAAAAGGACCAAAAUGUCAUACUCUGCUCCUCUGCCUUCUCACAGAUAAAUUAGUUUCCAGUGUGUCCCUCCCUCUGUAGCCAGCACUAAACCUCAUUUAAACUUCAAAUGAGAAUUAUAGCACAAUUAUACUAGUAUGAAUGUUUCAAUUAAUGUAACUUUCCUUAUACCAGAGUCCUGUAACAACUUUGCUUUAAAAUAAGCUGAUGAGAUUUUAAAGGUUCACUGCAAAAUAUGAUCCCUGAAAAUUAAUCCAUAUUGGCGGAAAAAAAGAGAAGUUUUCAAAUUUGUGGAAAUAAUUUCAAAAAUCCAUUACAGCCAAUGUAAUGUCAUUACUCUUCUACUAAAAAAUCUUAAAGGAAAACAUAUUUCUCUCUUCCCUAUGUGCACUGUCCAUCUGUCCCAAACUAAAUGUAUCAUCCUCGUUUUAUACUCUCUGCCCAAUCCAAGAUCUCCUCCUCUUUCUCAACUAUUUCACCUUUCCACUGAAAUCCCCAUUUUCUACUCAAAAGUUUGGUGACAUUUUGACUCUUGCUCUUUGAUUCUUUGAUCCAAAUCAACAAUUUUCUUGUUAGCUUAUUCAAAAUGUUAUUUGGUUAUGUUCUUUCCUCUGUUUUCCCAUUGCAUUAUCCUACCUAGACCCUUCCCUACCUCUCAUUUAUUAAAUAAAUCACUCUCUGCUGACUAGAUAUGUGCUCUGAGGAAAUAGAAUGCUGCUCUCUCUGCCUACUGACUUUCUCUACUCCAAUAUAUUCUGUUUAAAACCAACAUGGCAUUUUCAAAACUUUGUUUUUUGUCUAGAACCAACAAUGGUUCACCGCUGCGAAGCCACAAGUCCUAACUGUAUUUAUCCAUAAUGUUAAGUACCGUGGAGAUACAGAAGAAGGCAGGUGUAUUGGCCUAAAGGGGCUUAUUCCCUAAUUGAGGAGAUGGGACUUCCAUUCCUGAGACAGCGAGAACACAAAUCUCAGGCAGGUGCAAAAUAAUAAACUACAUGAAGAAGGUGAACAAGGAAACAUUUGCUUUGUGCCGGGGUUGGUUUCGAAGGCUUAAAGUGUAGACUAACAUUUAGCUAAACCUUGAAGAGAAGCACAGUUAGCAAAGUCAAAGCAGGAAGACUGGAGAUUUCCAAACAACACUGGUUUGGAAAGCAACUUAAGAGAGAGUUCUGGAUAGAUAAAGUGGGGCCAACCAACCACUUUCACCUCCAAGUGGAAGAAUCUGUACCUGAUUUGGUAGGCCACACAGAGGUUCCUGGGAAGAAAUUUAUUAUGAGAAAAGAAGUCAGAGGGAGAUUAACCUGAGUGCUCUUCCAGAGUACAAGGGCCAUGUGACAGCAAUCAGGCUGUGAAGUGAUGACUAUUUUCUUAAGGGCCAUGUGACAGCAAUCAGGCUGUGAAGUGAUGACUAUUUUCUUAAGAAUGUGAGCUGAGAGACUCAUGUAGUAUUGGUUGAUUCAUUCAUUCCACAGAUAUUCACUCAAGCACCUAUCACAGCACCUAUCAAGCACCUAUCACAGCUAAAAACAAACAUAAAAACCUCUGCCCUUGUAGAGCUUACAUUGUAGCAAGUGGAGGGGAAGAAGGGGAGAACAAUAUGCAGGAAACAUAAUAAAUUAGUAAAUGAAAGGGAAGGUGAUAUUGACAGAAUACAAGGCAGGGUAGGCGAUUAGAACUGCUGGAGAAGGAAUCAAAAUUUUAAAUUGGGGCUGGGGUGGUGGCUCACGCCUGUAAUCCCAGCACUUUGGGAGGCCUAAGUGCGCGGAUCACGAGGUCAGAAGUUUGAGACCAGCCUGGCCAAUAUGGUGAAACCCCGUCUCUACUAAAAAUACAAAAAUUAGCUGGGCGUGGUGGUGGGUGCCUGCAAUCCCAGCUACUUGGGAGGCUGAUGCAGGAGAAUUGCUUGAACCUGGGAGGUGGAGCUUGCAGUGAGUGGAGAUUGCGCCAUUGCACUCCAGCCUGGGCAACACAGCAAGACUCCAACUCAAAAAAAAAAAAAUUAAAUUGGGUCAUCAGAAUAGCAUUUACUGAAAAUAUGACAUUUAAGCAAAAACUUAAAAAUAAAAAUGGGAAUCCUCCUCAGGAGGGAAGGCAAUAAAUUAGAUUUCAGAGGUGAUAAUGGUUUAGAAAUGUUUACAUGUUAGGAUAUUUAUGUGUACCAUCUCCUAAGUUUCUGAGUACUUGAGGAAUCAUAAAGAUAGUUAAUACUGGAUAAAUAAGUACUAUUACCUAUGUGCAUGAAAACCAUAGAUAUUCACGCUAAUAAAAAUAGAUUCCCCAAAUUUAUUUUUCUUCCAGAUUCCCUGGAUUCCUAGGUUGUUAAUAGAGCGCGUGCAUUUAACUGUGAAUGACUCCACUGCUAUUUCUGAAAUAACCACU
rnacentral:lncRNA from 1 species